rnacentral:tRNA from 1 species
GGGUCGGUGGUGUAGCCCGGUCAACACGUCUCCCUGUCACGGAGAAGAUCACGGGUUCAAAUCCCGUCCGACCCG